rnacentral:tmRNA from 1 species
GGGGGCGUCCGGUCUCGACGGGGCAUGUGGUUUCCGAGAUAGCGAGCCGAAGGCGUGAGCGUUACAGCGCAGGCAUUAAAAACGCCAACAAGAACACCAACUCUUUCGCCCUCGCUGCGUAAGUAGCGAAGGUUAAGGAGUCCCGGGACUUUGAUCCCGGGCGUCGCCCUCGACGCCGCCGGCACGUCGAGAUAGCGGUGUAACACAAGACGGCUUGCCGGUCCGGAGGCACCGCGGCUCCGGACCGGGACGAUAACCGCGGUUGGCCCAGAGGGAUCCCGUCAGGAGGAGCCCGAUGGGCGAGAUCAAAAUCCUGGAUACGCUCGUAGAAGUCUCGGGGGACGCUGCUUCGGACGCGGGUUCAACUCCCGCCGCCUCCACCA